rnacentral:rRNA from 1 species
UUAAGUGACGAUAGCCUAGGAGAUACACCUGUACCCAUGCCGAACACAGAAGUUAAGCCCUAGAACGCCGGAAGUAGUUGGAGGUUGCCCCCUGUGAGAUAGGGAAGUCGCUUAGC